ACGGGUGAGUAAUGUCUGGGAAACUGCCCGAUGGAGGGGGAUAACUACUGGAAACGGUAGCUAAUACCGCAUAACGUCUUCGGACCAAAGUGGGGGACCUUCGGGCCUCACACCAUCGGAUGUGCCCAGAUGGGAUUAGCUAGUAGGUGGGGUAACGGCUCACCUAGGCGACGAUCCCUAGCUGGUCUGAGAGGAUGACCAGCCACACUGGAACUGAGACACGGUCCAGACUCCUACGGGAGGCAGCAGUGGGGAAUAUUGCACAAUGGGCGCAAGCCUGAUGCAGCCAUGCCGCGUGUAUGAAGAAGGCCUUCGGGUUGUAAAGUACUUUCAGUGGGGAGGAAGGCGAAGAGGUUAAUAACCUUUUCGAUUGACGUUACCCGCAGAAGAAGCACCGGCUAACUCCGUGCCAGCAGCCGCGGUAAUACGGAGGGUGCAAGCGUUAAUCGGAAUUACUGGGCGUAAAGCGCACGCAGGCGGUCUGUCAAGUCGGAUGUGAAAUCCCCGGGCUCAACCUGGGAACUGCAUUCGAAACUGGCAGGCUAGAGUCUUGUAGAGGGGGGUAGAAUUCCAGGUGUAGC
rnacentral:rRNA from 2 species